rnacentral:rRNA from 1 species
AAUACUCUUGGAUAGUGGACGUUACUCGCAGAAUAAGCACCGGCUAACUCUGUGCCAGCAGCCGCGGUAAUACAGAGGGUGCAAGCGUUAAUCGGAUUUACUGGGCGUAAAGCGCGCGUAGGUGGCCAAUUAAGUCAAAUGUGAAAUCCCCGAGCUUAACUUGGGAAUUGCAUUCGAUACUGGUUGGCUAGAGUAUGGGAGAGGAUGGUAGAAUUCCAGGUGUAGCGGUGAAAUGCGUAGAGAUCUGGAGGAAUACCGAUGGCGAAGGCAGCCAUCUGGCCUAAUACUGACACUGAGGUGCGAAAGCAUGGGGAGCAAACAGGAUUAGAUACCCUGGUAGUCCAUGCCGUAAACGAUGUCUACUAGCCGUUGGGGCCUUUGAGGCUUUAGUGGCGCAGCUAACGCGAUAAGUAGACCGCCUGGGGAGUACGGUCGCAAGACUAAAACUCAAAUGAAUUGACGGGGGCCCGCACAAGCGGUGGAGCAUGUGGUUUAAUUCGAUGCAACGCGAAGAACCUUACCUGGUCUUGACAUAGUAAGAACUUUCCAGAGAUGGAUUGGUGCCUUCGGGAACUUACAUACAGGUGCUGCAUGGCUGUCGUCAGCUCGUGUCGUGAGAUGUUGGGUUAAGUCCCGCAACGAGCGCAACCCUUUUCCUUAUUUGCCAGCGGGUUAAGCCGGGAACUUUAAGGAUACUGCCAGUGACAAACUGGAGGAAGGCGGGGACGACGUCAAGUCAUCAUGGCCCUUACGACCAGGGCUACACACGUGCUACAAUGGUCGGUACAAAGGGUUGCUACCUCGCGAGAGGAUGCUAAUCU